CGACCCCUCGAUUCGUUCCCUGUAGCAUACUUUUGGCUGCUAGCGUGUGGUGAACCGUUUGUUUUUUUUACAUUCACAUUAAACCCAAUAAGAGUCGCGCAAAUGGCGCCUCCUCACCUGUGCCACAUCGAUUUUACUGUGCCAAGGGGAAAGGUUAAAAACGCUUGGACCCAAUCUAAAAAAUCCGCAUCUACCCAUUGAUCCUCUCACACGCAAGCCUCCUCUCUCUCUUGUCUUGCGAGCCCUCUCUCCUCCCCGCGACUCCUCGGCGCCGCCACCACUCAUGCCGGCCGAUUCCGGCGAGUCCCGAUGGCGGGUGGCAGACCUACGACCUCCCCUCGCUCUGCUCCUUCCUCCCAUCCCUCCAAAUUCGUUGCUAGAGGCCUCCUGCGCUCGCUCCCGACCCUCAGCCGUGGCUAGGGUUUCAGGAGCGGCGUCCACUUCGUCGCCGGCGAGGCUAUGGUGGCUCGUCUCCCCCCAACCCCCGCGCCCACGCGUGGCUGGCCAUGAGGUGCACGCAGUGCGUCGGGCCGUGCCUCCUUUGCACCAGUGAAGAGAUAAUGAAGGUUGUUGCGCCGAUGCUAGUCUGGAGCACCACUCAGAGGCCUUGUUGUCGAGUGGGAGGAUCAGAAGGUAGUGGGAGACGAUGCCGAGUGGAUCGAUGAUAGUUGUGUCGUGUUUGGUGUCCAGGAGCUGGCGGUAGGAAGUGAAGGUCAUCAAGGUCGCAGUCCACACAUCCUCGUCCAUGUUGUGCCACCCUACAAAUGAUUUCCUCUUUGGUCGCUCCUCCUCACAGACGCUCCAGGACGACAUCUCAGCACGGCAUCGUUUGAGGAGAGGAUCAUUGUCGUGCGCUCGAUGGCAGGAACAGACCGAGGUCCUCAUUCGACCUUAAUUUCAAGCACCAGCAUCCUCAGAAUUCUAUACCUGACAGUCAUGAUAUGAAGGAUCUGGAUGAACCAUUUGAUCCCAUGUUUAGCCGCCUACGGACAACCCUUUUGGUAAUUACAAGAGCACGUUCAUACUCCCUUUGUCCAAAAUAAGUGAUUCAACUUAUGUGCUGAUGGUAAACAGUUGUGCGUGUGUAUUUGGUCUAUUUCCUCUCCAUAUCCAUGGUUUUCAUGCUGAUUUGUGUUUUCCGCUUUCUAUUUCAAGUUAUCGCCCAUGUAGCUGUGUAUUUGGCUGCAGGUCAUCGCUACUACUCCCUCCGUCCGGAAAUAUUUGUCAUCAAAAUGGCUAAAAGUCGAUAUAUCUAGACGUAUUUUAAUUCUAGAUACGUCUCUUUUUAUCUAUUUUGAUGACAAGUAUUUUCGAACGGAGGGAGUACCUCGAUGAAGUCACACGGACCCAGUGGUUCACACUACCUCCAAAGCAUUCGAAGAAGGUGUCCGCGUACAUGGUAUAAUUGUCUAUAUACAUAUAUCACCAUACAUUAAAAUGAAGAACGACGGCGUCUAAAAGAUUCUGAAGCUUCAUUCUGGAGUUACAUGAAUCUGGGGCUGACUGAGGGAGAUCAAAAUGGUACCAGAUGGUAACAUUAGGUUGUAUGCAUGCAGUGAUGUUUAAUCAAGAUCGUUCAAAGGCUAUAUUCAGGUGUCUCUGUCGUGACUUGCUUGGCAUUAUUCUCAUAUCCGUUAGGCAGUAGUAACCUUCUUUUGAUGGUUGUCGACACACACCUUCAGUCACACAUACACCAUACGAGCAGUCAAAACAGCAGGAGAUGCUCCCACUGCUAUAUUCUUAAUUUUUGAGAAAUAAUACAUACUGUCUGUAUGCCCACCAAUUGGUGGCAGAAAGGGUCUUUUUUUGCGAAAGGGCAGAAAGGGCCUUACAAAUAAAACAAGGCCAAGUAUAAAAAAUAUACAAGGUUCUGGCCCUGAACUUCAGAAUCCCUAGGUCUGAAGUUAGUCCUGUCUUACAACUGAGCAAUAUGCAGAGCCUCUGGUACGCGCAGCCAUGCUCUAUCGCCGCCACCUGCUACUUCAAGUCCGUCAACGGCCUCGCCGGAAACUGGGGCUUAUCCAUAGUCCGACUCAAUCUCUGUGUCGCCCUCCUCGCCGGUAUACAUGCAUCUCGUUUAGUCAGCUCGUUGUACAACUUGUAGUCUCCUCAAUCCAGAAGUAGGAAUUCACAGAUAAAAUGCUUAUCUGAAUUCAGGUGUACAACCAUUUUUUUUUUGGAUUUUAGGUUGGAUGCUCACAUAAGAGGUGAUCUGAUUUUUCUAUCGCUUGUCUCUUUUUGCUAAUGCUGGGAUGUGUCCAAGUGUUGAUUUUUGUCAUGUGUGGAAGCUGGACUGUGUCUAUAUGUACAUUUUUGUUCAUGCAAGAAUUUUUUAUUUGCACUCACUGGAUCAUGUUAUUCUCAUGUGUAGCUCGUCAUUUAC